CAUCGCCUCUUGCCUAAAUAUAAGAGGUCUAGCCUGCCCAGUGACAUAGUUUAACGGCCGCGGUACCCUAACCGUGCAAAGGUAGCAUAAUCACUUGUUCCUUAAAUAGGGACUCGUAUCAACGGCAUCACGAGGGCUGUACUGUCUCCUUUCUCCAAUCAGUGAAACUGAUCUCCCCGUGAAGAAGCGGGGAUAAACCUAUAAGACGAGAAGACCCCAUGGAGCUUUAAACCCAUCGCACACCUCUACGCACUCAAAUCAGUAUAGCCUAAGAAGCUUGUGCGUUGGUUUUAGGUUGGGGGGACCGCGGAGUAAAAUUAAACCUCCACGACAGACGGGCUAAUACCCUUAUCCAUGAACCACAAUUCUAAGAGCCAAUAAAUUGUUGUCUAAUGACCCAAUUACUUGAUCAACGAACCAAGUUACCCUGGGGAUAACAGCGCAAUCUACUUCAAGAGCCCCUAUCGACAAGUAGGUUUACGACCUCGAUGUUGGAUCAGGGUAUCCUAGU
rnacentral:rRNA from 1 species